CGCCUCUAGCAAAACCAGUAUUAGAGGUACUGCCUGCCCAGUGAUAAAUUUAACGGCCGCGGUAUUUUGACCGUGCAAAGGUAGCAUAAUCACUUGUCUUCUAAAUAAAGACUAGUAUGAACGGCAAAACGAAGGUUUAACUGUCUCCUUUGUCCACUCAAUGAAAUUGAUCUCACAGUACAAAAGCUGUGAUUCAACAACAAGACGAGAAGACCCUAUGGAGCUUAAAACUUACUAAAAAUUGUAAUAAAUUUAUUAAUUUAAUACACUAAUUUUAUACUGUUUUUGGUUGGGGCGACCACGGAGAAUACAUAUCCUCCGAGAUGAUACAUCAGGAAACAAUCCAAAACUUCAGAAAACUGACAUAAUUGACCCAAUAACUUUGACCAACGAACCAAGUUACCCUAGGGAUAACAGCGCAAUCCUCUUCAAGAGCCCAUAUCGACAAGAGGGCUUACGACCUCGAUGUUGGAUCAGGAUAACCUGACAGUGCAACCGCUGUCAAAGGUUUGUUUGUUCAACAAUUAAAAUCCU
rnacentral:rRNA from 1 species